AAGUCGUAACAAGGUCUUCGUAGGUGAACCUGCGAAGGGAUCAUUACCGAGAUAGGGUCCGCAAGGGCCCGAACCUCCAACCCAUUGUCUACCAAACCUCUGUUGCCUCGGCGGGCCGCCGGCGUUCCCUUUACCGGGGCGCCGCCGUCGGCCUCCGUGCUCUCGAGCGCCCGCCGCAGGACAUUACAAACCCUUUUUAAAGAGUUAUAAUCUGAAAUGAAAUUAAAAUGUUUCUAAAA
rnacentral:misc_RNA from 1 species